CCCGUCCUUUGCCCCGGCGAAUCCGUAUCGUAUGCUUCUCUCUCUAAAAAAAGCUCUCUUCCUCCCUCUAAAAGUAUUGAUUGUCUCUCUCUUGUGUAGCCUCAAUUCUCUGUCUCUCUCUUUCUAUUUAUUUUCAUUUGUUGGCGUGUGUUCGUGUUUCCCUCUUUUCUCUCUCUUCCUCGUAUCUCUCAUAUCGUUCUUCUGCUUCUAUGCCCUAAUUUCUCUGUAUAUCUCUACCCACUGUUUUUUUCUUUCAGUCUCUUAAAAUCUGGUAAUACACCAC
rnacentral:misc_RNA from 1 species